AUACCAGUAGAAAAGGUUUUUGUUUUUGUAGCUGUUUCGUGGUGAAAGUCCUUUAUGGGGACCAAAUUUCCACACAAGAAAUUGAGCACAUGGUUGCUUUUGCGUCCCAAAAGAAUGAAUAUUAGAAAACAUUUAAAAAAAGUCUAAGGUAAUACAAUUAUAUGCAACUAAAAAUAAUCACAAUAAUUUGCACUUAUGAGUUUUCAACUAUUAUUUUUCACAAAAUAAUUUUGCGGAUCAGUUUGCUCUGAGCGCUUGUGUUGUUUACCAAAAAAAUGCAGCCCUGUUGGUUUUUGUUUCUGUAUCGCAUCGCGGUGAGUUUCUAUUUCUUGGUAAUUCGGUUUGUGAAAUGACUAUUAAUUACAAGCACAGCAUCAUCAACGGUGAUUGCAAGAACUACUGCAAUCCCUGCGGUUUUUCCUCUUGGUAAAUGCGUUCAGGUCGUGAUCAAGGGUGGUCUCCCAAAUCGGCCGGGAAUAAGGCUAUUGUUGCAGAACAAAACGCCGCAACCAGUGCUGUGGUAAAUAUGUUCCAGCAGAACUGCCCACCGCCGUCGGUGUAAUGAUUUCGAUGGCUGAACAAACGCCAUCUCCUGGGCUAUUCCCACAGCUUGCGGACACUAGCUAUUAUAUCACGUGUGAAUGCAACUGCGGCUUAAUUUGGUUAUUAACAGUGCAGUAGUACCAUGUCAUUGGCAAAACGACUAAGGGCUGCUGGCACAAAUAGGUUGUAAAGUUUUUGGUAUCGAUGAACAUACUCGAAGAAGACGAUGACCGAAAACAUAUGAUGAAACAUCUUCUGGCAUGCCUUUGACAAUCGUUAAGUCAGACGGAGGCUUCACAUACGAUAUUUCACACAUGGCUCGAAUUCGUUAGCGGACAGAGCACACAUUUACAAAAUAUUUAUCGUUCAGCAGAACGUGCAUGCAUAUUCGAUAUUUCACACAUGGCUGGAAUUCGU